rnacentral:rRNA from 1 species
ACGGGUGCGUAACGCGUGGGAAUCUGCCCUUGGGUUCGGAGUAACAGUUAGAAAUGACUGCUAAUACCGGAUGAUGUCUUCGGACCAAAGAUUUAUCGCCCAGGGAUGAGCCCGCGUAGGAUUAGGUAGUUGGUGGGGUAAUGGCCCACCAAGCCGACGAUCCUUAGCUGGUCUGAGAGGAUGAUCAGCCGCACUGGGACUGAGACACGGCCCAGACUCCUACGGGAGGCAGCAGUGGGGAAUAUUGGACAAUGGGCGAAAGCCUGAUCCAGCAAUGCCGCGUGAGUGAUGAAGGCCUUAGGGUUGUAAAGCUCUUUUACCAGGGAUGAUAAUGACAGUACCUGGAGAAUAAGCUCCGGCUAACUCCGUGCCAGCAGCCGCGGUAAUACGGAGGGAGCUAGCGUUGUUCGGAAUUACUGGGCGUAAAGCGUACGUAGGCGGUUACUCAAGUCAGAGGUGAAAGCCCGGGGCUCAACCCCGGAACUGCCUUUGAAACUAGGUAGCUAGAAUCUUGGAGAGGUCAGUGGAAUUCCGAGUGUAGAGGUGAAAUUCGUAGA